UACGGAGGGUGCAAGCGUUAAUCGGAAUUACUGGGCGUAAAGCGUGCGCAGGCGGUUUUCCAAGACAGAUGUGAAAUCCCCGGGCUCAACCUGGGAAUGGCAUUUGUGACUGGAAGGCUAGAGUGUGUCAGAGGGGGUAGAAUUCCACGUGUAGCAGUGAAAUGCGUAGAGAUGUGGAGGAAUACCGAUGGCGAAGGCAGCCCCCUGGGAUAACACUGACGCUCAUGCACGAAAGCGUGGGGAGCAAACAGG
rnacentral:rRNA from 1 species